UACAGAGGGGGGCAAGCGUUGUUCGGAAUUACUGGGGCGUAAAGGGCGCGUAGGCGGCCUGUUAAGUCGAACGUGAAAUCCCCGGGCUUAACCUGGGAACUGCGUUUCUAACUGGCAGGCUUGAGUGUGGCAGAGGGGGGGUGGAAUUCCACGUGUAGCAGUGAAAUGCGUAGAGAUGUGGAGGAACACCGAUGGCGAAGGCAGCCCCCCUGGGCUAACACUGACGCCUCAUGCACGAAAGCGUGGGGAGCAAACAGG
rnacentral:rRNA from 1 species